rnacentral:lncRNA from 1 species
GAGCUAAGAAACCUGAAAAACCAAGACAAGAUGCAAACUCUGAAAAGCAAUCCAAAUCAGAAAGAAAAUGAACUCCUUAUUGUUAAUGGCAAAUCCAUAUGGCUGCAUCCACCCAAAGAAGCCGCACUUGGUGCCAAGGUUAUGAGAUCACAAAGAGGGCAACCAACAGUGAAGACAGCAACCUGUUCUGAAAGAGAGAAGGUAAAAUCUUCCAUUUAUAUUCCAGAUAGCAAGAGAGAAGCAAGUAGCAGAGAAUCAAGUAAGAAGAACAAAUUACAGCAUUAUAUGGAGAACCUACUGCAGGUUCAGAUACACUUAUGGAAUUGUAAUAAUUGUUGUGCAUUUCAUAACCCUCUAUACCUUUUGACUACACGAAAAUAGAGAAGCCAUACUGUAUAUGAAAUGCUUUCCACUCUGCAGUAAUGGAGUUGCAGGCUCUUCAGAGCCUGGCUGUAUAUUUUGUCUAGAAACGUGGCUUUUAAAUUCCCCGUUGGCCAGUUGCGCACAUGCAAAACAGCCAUACAACCAUUUAAAGAAACUGCAGAGGAAAAUUAUCUGCUUCUCCCAUCACAUUACAGGUCUGCUUCAGUUUUGCUAUUUAUUUUUUUUAAAUACUGUACUACUAUCACGAUCACCAAAGGUAUAUUGCAGAAGAGUCCAGAAUCUCAGGCCUAACCACAAGAUAUGAAAAAAACAAAACAAAAGCCAACCCCACCCUGCUGUUUACUGAAGCCCGUGGCCUGUUUUUCCUCA